rnacentral:rRNA from 1 species
AAUAUGACUCUCGGCAACGGAUAUCUCGGCUCUCGCAUCGAUGAAGAACGUAGCGAAAUGCGAUACUUGGUGUGAAUUGCAGAAUCCCGUGAACCAUCGAGUCUUUGAACGCAAGUUGCGCCCGAAGCCAUUAGGCUGAGGGCACGCCUGCCUGGGUGUCGCACA